CGUAGGGUGCGAGCGUUAAUCGGAAUUACUGGGCGUAAAGCGUGCGCAGGCGGUUUUGUAAGACAGGCGUGAAAUCCUCGGGCUCAACCUGGGAACUGCGUUUGUGACUGCAAGGCUAGAGUAUGGCAGAGGGGGGUGGAAUUCCACGUGUAGCAGUGAAAUGCGUAGAGAUGUGGAGGAACACCGAUGGCGAAGGCAGCCCCCUGGGCCAAUACUGACGCUCAUGCACGAAAGCGUGGGUAGCAAACAGGAUUAGAUACCCUGGUAGUCCACGCCCUAAACGAUGUCAACUAGGUGUUGGGUGGGUAAAACCAUUUAGUACCGGAGCUAACGCGUGAAGUUGACCGCCUGGGGAGUACGGCCGCAAGGUUA
rnacentral:rRNA from 1 species